UUCAGAGGUCUUAGUCCAUAGAAGGCUGGUUUCAUUUCUUGGGGCUCCAGAUGAGGCACAGCAUCAUGGCAAGAGAGCAUGGCAGAGGGAAUCAGCUCACAUCAGGAAGCAGAGAGCACAGACUCCACUCUCCAGGAAGAAUUUGUCUUCAGUUCCUUAAAAGUGCAGCAAGAUUAAUGGAUUCAUCAAUUCAAUCACUAAUUCAAUAAACACUCUGAGGUCCCUACCAACCAGAACAUGUCAAGGCCUGGCUAACAGGACAAGAGUUUGAAGUGUCUUCCAGUUAUGAUGUCUGAUAACUGAACUGAGUUGGAAUUGUACCAGGCUGAAUGUAACAGAAUAAAGGGAAUAUCUUCAGCUAACAAGAACUUCAGAAGUCAGUAGUCCAAGAUUAAAUCAGAAACUACUCAUGUUAAUCAAAGCCACAGGAUCCCUUGACUUUAUCAACAAACAAUAGACUGGCUUUUCCUUGUAGACAGUCGGUUUUUCCAGGAAACAAGAAGAAAUUAACAGAGUGGUAAGAGGGGUUAUAUUAAAAAAAAAAAAAAAGCAUUUUCACCCUGGAAAUUCUCAAUUGACUUCUCAGUACCCAGAAAAAUAACCACAAAAGAAGUUAAGAAAAAUCUAGAAAGUACAUUACCAUUUCUUUUUCUAUUUUGUUAACAUUAGUAUCAUUCUUACUUUGUAUCCAAAAAAUGAUGUUUACUGUUUUUAUAUACCCAGGUGCCAUCUACAUCAAAAAGUCAGAAAUAUUUCUCUUGAUGAAAUAUACUUCUCAUCUAAAUAUAAAAGACAAUAUAUGUAAAAUAUUUUUGAAGGCUCAUUUCCCCAAAAGGAAUCAUUUUCCAUGAAAAAUAUGAUAUAUAAUUUGCUUAAUAGCUAUGCCAAACAUGUGAUAAAAUUGCACUAUCAAGAAAAUUUUACAAAUGUGAUGUCCCAUUAAUCAACAUUUUGAUGUGUUUCUUGAGCAGUGCUCACAAAGACUGCAUUUUCCUAGACUGGAAAAAUCAUGCUUAUCAUGUAUACCUGUUUUAAAAUUCAGAUGGCAUUCACUUUGUGUUAAAUUCUGAAUCUAAAGAGAAAGAGUUCUAUUUUUAUCCCCCCUCAGCUCAAUUAUGAAUGUAAUUGCUCUGGCCAUUAACUGUAUGAUUACAUGUGCAUCCUUUGUCUUUCAUUGCUUGAUGAAUCUUUUUGACAUGUUAUUUCAAAAGAAGAAUGUACUGAGAGACAAACUUCUCAGGUUGAUGUGAUCCACUUAUAAAAGUUCAAGUUAGUAAUGCAGAAGACUUGGGAAAUGUUUUAUUAUUUUUUAAAGGCCCAAUCAGGAAACAAAAUUCACAAAAUAUUUAAAAGGAAAUACUUAAAGAAUUAUUAACUCUAAGGAGGUUUUCUAUAAAGCAGUAGAGUGCUCUUAAAAAGUACCCCAUGGAAAGUAUACAAGGAAGAAAUCUCUAGGAUUGAACUCAGAUCUCCUUGGAGAAACUGACUGCAGAUCAGUGCAUGGCAGAGAAGGUGUUAACACAGGUAAGAACUUUUCUACAGUUGUUGGAUAAGUAUGAAAAAUCCCUGCAGAGUGCAAGAGAUAAAUAAACAUGACUAUUACUGACAAACAGGAAUUACUCUGAGUUGACAGAAGAGGCAGGUAACCAACCACUGGCUCACUUAGAAGCCUCAUUAGUAAUUCAUUUAUAAUAUACCAUUCAAUUUCAAUGGCAAAUAGUGCACAGGACUCCAACUGAUACAUAAUUAGGGUGAGUGGUGCUGAUACUGUCCACAUAUACUACCCCCACUGUCUCUACAUGCCAGUCACGUGGAGCACAAAGAAAAUAAUGGGAAUCCAAAAAGGGAACUCCUUCUUCUUGUUGUGUCUAUUCAGUACCUACUAAUGUCAAAGCUUAGCAUCACCAGCUGCAAAGGAGACAUUUUUAAAAGGCUCAUCUCAAUUUUUGAAGAGCAAACAAGGAAGGGUACAUUUGUCAAUAUGUUCAUAGCCUACACAGUUCCUAUCAUCAACCUGGGCCCUAGAUGGAAGGUGUAAAAGCUGGGAAAAAGCCAGUAGAGACAAACAUACAGCUUUAAAAUGCAUGAUGUAAGUGCUACUGAUUUAUCUUUAAUUAAACAAAAAUUGCCUCCAGAAUUUACUUUAAAUUUGAUUUUUUGUCAUUUUCAGCAUAUAUUUGUUUACUUGUUGACAGAAAAUGAAAAUCUUAUCUUGGUCAUUAAAACCCAUUGACUACUCCUUUCCUAAUUAAAUAAAUUCAGCAUUCAAACUUAUAGAGAUGCAAAUAGCACAAUAGAAAAAAAUAGCAUAAUGCAAUAAAAACAAUAUAAAAUAGUAACACUUUUGUCAGUAAUGUUGGUAGACUUUAUCAUAGGGCAAUUAUUGAUUAAUUUGCACUUAAAAACAAUAUAAAUUAAUAAAUUGUUAUCCCUAGACAUUUAUGUUUAAUAGCAGUAUGUUUACUGAAAACAGAUUUUGGGCUAGCAUAGAGCAUCUUUUAACCUGAAGAGAGGACUGAGUACUAAAAAAAGUUAAAUAAUCCCUUAUAUAUCAUGACUUCUAUGUAUCUCUGUAUUGAUAGAGAAACUUUUUAAAAAAUGAACUGGGUUACAUUUUCCCUUUUUGGAACUAUCUAAUUACUUUUGAGUACAAUAACUCUUUAAACUCAAAGCAAUUGCUUAUCUUGCCAUAAGUGAGUUUUUAAUAGUAUUUGAUAAAAAUGUAAAACUCUGUCACUUUUUCUCUAGAAUUCAAAUAUACAUCUGAAUCGUUAGCAUUGAUAAGCUUAUGCUUAGGUCUCAGAGCUCAGAGAUGUGCCCUGUGGGCUGGGACCUAUCUUUGAGGACUGGGAACUGACAUUUGUAUUAACGUCUUUUGGGGGAGUCGAGUUAAGUCUUUUCUGGAAACAUUGGGGAAUUGCAAAAUGAAUCUUACUACCACGGGAGAGAAUUGCCACUGUCAGCAUUAAGAAGAUUGACAGAGUGACUCUCAGAGUAACAGGACACAAACAAGCAGAAAAAUAUGGGAAUCAGCAAUCCCUUCUUUCUCCUCCAGAUUUGCAGUAUUUCUGUGGUUCUCACUAUAAGCAGAGUUUAACUUACAGACUGAUGGGAAAAGAAAACUACAAUUUCUGAAUUUUAAAUCCCAGCAUAAUAUAUUAAAUUAUAGAUGUCUAAGUCUGGAGCUGAGAGACAAUAUCUUAAUAAUUACCACAGAUUGUCUUAGAAUUUGACUUGCUCUUUUAUAAUUCAACUGAAUAUUACUGCUUAUUAUAGAAAUGUCAUUAUUCCCAAUUUGCAUAUGUAAGUAUUGACUCUCAAUAUUUAAGUGUUCCAUCCUGGCAUGUCUGCUAUAAUGAACUUCAAAUUUGAAUGCAGUGUUUUCUCUUUCCAUCUAUUUAUCUUCAAGCUGAAAGCCUUGAUAUUGCUGUUAUCUUGAAUGUUGUUACCUCCUUAACUUUAACUCGAGAUUCUCUCAAAAACUUUGGGCAUCUUUAGCAUUAUUCAAUUCCUCAAAUGUUUAAAAUAUCAUGAAUGAACUCUAUCAUUCAUGAAUGUUUUUUGUGGGAGAAAUUUUAAUUAUAAUUUCAUGUCAUUUAUGAAUAUAUUU